rnacentral:rRNA from 1 species
GAUGAACGCUGGCGGCGUGCCUAAUACAUGCAAGUCGAGCGAACAGACGAGGAGCUUGCUCCUUUGACGUUAGCGGCGGACGGGUGAGUAACAUGUGGAUAACCUACCUAUAAGACUGGGAUAACUUCGGGAAACCGGAGCUAAUACCGGAUAACAUGUUGAACCGCAUGGUUCAACAGUGAAAGACGGUCUUGCUGUCACUUAUAGAUGGAUCCGCGCCGCAUUAGCUAGUUGGUAAGGUAACGGCUUACCAAGGCAACGAUGCGUAGCCGACCUGAGAGGGUGAUCGGCCACACUGGAACUGAGACACGGUCCAGACUCCUACGGGAGGCAGCAGUAGGGAAUCUUCCGCAAUGGGCGAAAGCCUGACGGAGCAACGCCGCGUGAGUGAAGAAGGUCUUCGGAUCGUAAAACUCUGUUAUUAGGGAAGAACAAAUGUGUAAGUAACUAUGCACGUCUUGACGGUACCUAAUCAGAAAGCCACGGCUAACUACGUG